UAGAAAUUAGCUUAAUGGUAGAGCAUUCGUUUUACACACGAAUAAUUUGAGUUCGAUUCUCAAAUUUCUAA
rfam:Ashbya gossypii (= Eremothecium gossypii) ATCC 10895 mitochondrion, complete genome.